AUCUGUGAACUGACCCUGCUGUGUCCUCAGGUGAGGAACACCAUCUCUGUGGAACAUUCUUGCUGGGGUGAAGCCUUCUCCAUGUUUGUAUGAGGUCACCUGCUAUAGCAGUCAUGUCUUGUGUGUCUUCUCAUUACUCACGUGGUUCUGAACUCAGCUAAGAGGUGGGAGCUUGAGUGCUGCCUUGGCACUGGGAUAAUGCAGCCCCAGGACUUGGAGUUGGCUCAGCCACAGGCACAGCACGUGUACAAACAUGGUGCAGGCUGCAUCUUCCCUGAGGUUUGUGGCAAUCCAGUUCCAAAUCCAAACGUGAACUUCCUCUGGACCAGGACAUGUGCUCAGCUUUCCUUUCACCAAUCCCUGAACCCAUUCUGGGUGAGGGAAGGAUGAGCAGCCGUGGCAGCCCUUCCCAGUGUGAACUGUGUUUGUUUUGGGUGAAAUGCAGAAACUGGAGAGGGAUGAACUCUUCAGGCUCCUGGGAGCUCCUGCCAGCUCUGUGCUGUGACCCCAGGUGAGGAACAUCAUCCCUAUGGAACAUUCUUGCUGGGGUGAAGCCUUCUGUGUGUCUGUAUGAGGUCACCUGCUGUAUCAGCCUGUCUUGUGUGCUUUCUCGUUACAAAGGUGGUUCUGGAGCAUUGUUCUACCUUGGAGAAGGAAACGGAAGGGCUGAGAGGAUCACCUGAGGAUAUUCUACAAGGCAGCAGCAGGCUGGCAUGGAAACUGCCUCUUGUCUAUUUGGAUCCUGUAUAGACUUAUCCCCUACUGUAUCUAACUCAUGUUUUUUGGUGUAAGGUAUGGUUGGACAAGCUCUUCCAGCUUGCUGAGCUCUCAUUGCUGCCCUAGCCUAGGUGCUGUCAGGUCACACUGCUCUGUCCCAGCUUUCCUUGGAGUGGGAGUCUUGCUGCACACAUCCUAGGUGCUGUGUGGAGCUGGAAACCUUGCCACUCUUGGCUAUAAAUUUACCUUUCCUUGCUUGUCAUCUUUUCAGGGCAAUGAGCCCAGCAGCCCCACAGGCAUGGCCGAAGCAUGGGAUCAGUGUUCCCAGUGGUUGAUCUACAGGAACAAGCACAUGGGGAGGGAAUGAGUUCAUCUCCUCCACGCUCUUGGCCGUGGCAGGGCUGUUCCUAUAUUCCUGCCGUACUGGGGUGAUAAGCUGGUUGCAGGGAGAACAUUCUGUCCCUUCCCUGGAAGAGGAGUUUCAUCCGAACCUUCCUCCUGGGAGCAGUCCUUGGUAGGCAGCUGAAAUUUUCCUUUUCCUCUCAUCCCAUGACUGCUAGGGAAUAUCCAGCCCAUUGCAUUGUCCAUAUUUCCACUGUCCAGAGGUGUUUCAGGAUCUGUCGGCUGGUUCUUUCCUUUAUUGCAACUUUUUAGCUGCUUUCUCACAGGUUGGUGCUUUAACCCUUAAUUUCUCCUGGUUUUGGUACAGCAGGUGAUUGCAGUUUGGCUGAAGGAAUGAAUCUAAAAUGUACCAACAUCUCUGCUCCUUCACUGUAGUUGUGCUCUGGAAGAUGCGGCCCCUCUAAAGCACCUCUGGUAACAGAAGAAACUGAAGUGGAUCCAAAUGACUCUGGUUUCAAAGGAGAUUUAAUUUGGUGACUAAACCAGGCUGCAGGCUUUCCAGUCCUAUCAAUCCCAUUAAAAAGCAAAAAAUAAUUUAAAAAAAAAAAAAACAAACAACAAAAAAUCACAAAAAUGCACAAAAUCUUAACAAUAGCAGAAGUCAUAACUAUAAUUUUACUGUGUACUGUUGUUUUAACAGGUGGAGUGUAACUGGAGUGAACUUGUGUGCAGCACGUUGGAUUGAGUGGUGUAAAAGUCACGGUAAAGUCUUGGAUUUCUGGCAUGGAGAUGUGGGUAGAAGGGUGAGUGAGAGCCGUGUUUGAAGGAUUGGGGUGAGGUGUUAUGUUUGAGAAGGAAAAAACUUAAUUUCUGAUGGGAAGUGUUUUAAGUUUCACUUGAUGUCCUCCAUCUGUUCCCAGCUCAGACCACUCCUCUCUUCCUCCUUGUGCUUGCCCAGGGCUGUUGUAUGUGACUGUUCAAACAGCCCUAAGUCUGUUUAUUUACUGAGGCUGAAAAUCAUCUUGCAAUCAGAAUUCUUCAUGGUGCAAAUACCUUGUUUUAACAGCCAGGCUGGUUCUCUGCUGCAAUGACAACAGUAACAGACCUCUCGGCUCAUCUUUCAAGUCUCUGUCAAGGGCAGGUGUCCUUGCACGGGCAGUUGCUGCCUUCCAGAGAUCCAGGCAGGCUCAGAGGGUUGGUUUUUCUCUGUGUUGGAGACAGCAGCCAGGGCAGGUCUCUGAUGGACAAGCCGUGUGUUCCAGUUAUCUUGUGCGUGCUGGGAUUUGCCAGGAAACUAAUGAUCUGUCUGGUCCAGAGUCUUACAGGCACCAGCAGCAGUUGUCUCCUAAGGAAAGCACCAGAGGCUGAUAUUAAUCAAGGAAUGAGCUUUUCCUGGCUUUUCUUCCUCACCCCAGCUCAGGUAAGGCUGUUUCUCAAGCAUGUGGCUCUUAAACAACAUCCAAACCAGCAGUGCAGAGGUACUGGGGCUGUUUCUUGACUAUUAGUUUUCCUGAGGUUUCAGACUUAAUGAAUAACUGUAUGAACUUGCCUGAAAACAUAUAAACCUCACACUUACACUAUGUGAAUUCCUUGUCAAAUAACUUCUGUCUGAAGUAUUUGAGCUUGGAGAUUUAACUAGCCAAGGCUAAAGGCCACCAAGGUGCCUGCUGCUGUCCUGGCUAUUGCACAGGCUAUGGGUUUUCCUGCAGAUGCUCACACUUCUCAGAAGCUGCUCCUCACCUGAGUGCAGCCCCAGCAGCCCAAAUGCUAUUGUGUGAAGUGUGUUGGUGGGGUUGACUCACUCUGGCAGGUUUGGUAGCAACUGUAUAUUAUCUGCCUUACCUGUGCUGUGUGAACCAUCGCCUCUCCAAACUUCUGGAACAGCAAAAACUGGAGAUGGGAUGACCUCAGAUCUUUCCAAUUCUCCAUUUUCCCCCUGUGGGGGAAGGCUUGUUCUCUCCACUAGAUUUUCCUGUACUGGUUCCAGUUUUCAAUGACUCAAGGCCAGGGUUUUCAUCGUUUCCCUCAGGAGCCUGGCAGAUUGCUCACCAUGAGAGAUGCUUUCCUAAACCUCCACCUGAUCUGUUCCCCUCUUUGAUUUCAGCCUUGAAUUGAAAGAGUGGUCAGCAAAAAGUUACAGUGAGUUAAUGCCGAUCAAAUGAAGUACUUGAGUACCAGUAACUCUUUCUGGGUCACUUUGAUGCAGGUCCUGAAUAGAAAUGAUUGAAACAAAGCUGUCAUGGUGUCACUUGAAGGCUGACAAGCACUGAAAAGCACAGACAGUGUAGGUAGUGAGGUCCUUCUAGGAGUUACAGGUUAGUGGAAAGUUUUAGUCUAUAGAAUAUAAAUGUACCUGCAACUGGUGGAAACUGGAAAGAUUACCCCUGAAAUAUGGAACUACAUGGCCAACUGCAGACGUGGCAAUUGCUGGUUUUAUUCUAGGCUUUGCUUGUGCCUAGUACUUAGUCAAGAAGCUUGACUUUUUUUCUUAACAAGCUGAGGAUUUUCCCAUGCAUUGCUUUCUGUUAUGCUGCCUGUGCUGUCAAUGCUGUGCAACCAGUAGCUUGACUGUAAUGCUGAAGUAAUUCUUAAAAUAUCGUCUGUGAAACAGAUCAGGCAUGACGGGAUAAAGCCCUUUUCCAUGAAUGAUGAGUGGGACCAGACCGUGGAUUCACUCUCAAACGGGAGCCCGCACAAGAAGGGAGAAAUAAAUUCCAAAGCAUGGCCAUACAAGGGACAAAACUAGAAGCAAAUCCAAUGUCCACCACUGAGAAUUCCAGAAAUAUUUAGGGCAGGAUGGAAAGCCGGUAGUGGUUAAGAGGUCUGUGGUAGGAUGAUACAUCAUGGGAUGGGAAGCUCUGUCUUUUGGUUAGAUUGCUUGGGAAGCUGGUUUGUGGUUUAUCUGAAAUGAGCAGUGGGCUCUUCAAACCAGGGUAGGGAAUAAGGAUUGAGUAGGAACAGGGGAUGAUGCUGCACUUGCACCUCUGCCAGGGAGAUGGAGGGGAGUUAGUUAGUGCUUCCUCACAGGCCCGUGCCACACACCAGUCCUGCCAACCUCCGUGUGCCAAGGGAGGAACUACUGCUUCCUUGGGGAGAAGGGGUUUUUGUGCUCUGACAGCACUGGCUGUGCUGGGGGGGCAAAGAGCAUGACUAAGGGUAAGAUACAGAACCAAGCUCUGCACCCUGAUUCACCCCAUCCCUGUACAGCUUCGCUCUUCCCUCCAGGAAUGUCUGAUAAUGCAGCACACAGGGCUGAGAUCACCCUUCUGGCAAGUGCCUGCUGUGGUGUGAGACCAGUCAUCUAACAGCACGGUGUUACUGCAGUCUCCAAGGCAACCCUCCUCGCCGUUCCCCUUUGGAAGCUCUGUGUAUUCCUGAAGCUGCAAGUGCAGGAGAUGUGAAAGACCUUACCUGUGCCAGUGAGCUCUAGACCAGGAGGCUGUUUCUGCCUUGGGUAUUUCCUGCUGGAAGGUGCUGCCUGUCCACCCUUCAUGUCACACAGUCUUUCUUUUUCUCCUGCUACUUCCCUUCUCUGUGUGCUGUGUGUGCACCCAGCUGUGCUUGCACAAAGUCUGGGCUGCCAUGAGGAUCACUGGAGAUCUCUGCUGAGUGUGAUGCUGUACAGGUGCAGCCAUUCCUGCACCGUGGAGCCUGAGGAUGGAGGGAGAAAUGUGGGGUGAGUGAGGGGCAGCUGCUGCUCUGAAAUCAAACACAGAAGAGUCAGGCAUGGCGCUUGCUGCUUUAUUUGUGCUUUGGUUGUAAGAAUAUUUUUAUCCAUGUCCAUCCUUGUUGCCCUUUUCCAUGAGCACAAAGAGCUGUGAAGGGAGGGAUAGCCAGAUCAUACCUUUGUACUUGGCCAGAGGGAAAUGCUGUGGAAGCCUGAGCCCUUUCCUUGCAGGUGUAGGACUGAGGAUGAUGUGGGACAACAGGCUCUUCCUCUGCACAGUAGAAAUAUUAUGAUGACAAGAACAAAAACAGUGGGUUUUUUGUCUCUGCUUCUGCAUCAAGUGAUCUUACACAAGGCUUGAAAUUGUCCCCUCGAGUUGUGUUGAAACUGUGAGCCCACAGCAGUGGGAGGAAGGAGCUCUUCACCCCAAGUUCACUGAGAGGUUGCUUGAAGAAGCCAGUGUGCUCUUCCCAGGGAAUUGAAUCUCAGUUUUGUGUGUGUUUGGGGCUUAAAGGAAAUACACUGCCAAAAACAAGGAUGAAUUUGAUGCCUGAGCCAAAAAGGCAUUUAGGAAAUCUCCCCCCGACCCCAGUAAUUCAGGGCAGGUGAUAUGAGAUCCGAGGAGCUCUGCUGGUCUGUGCACUCCAGCACACACAGGGCAAGGAAAGGCUGCAGGGCUGAGCCAGCCCCUCAGAGCCCCCCCUGGCUUCCUCAGAGCCCCCAUGUGCUCAGUGCCAGCCUGGAAUGGGGCUGUUGGGGAGGAAAGAGGAUCUGUGGUGAGUGACACUGCUCUUGGUAAAGCAAAACCUGUCUGAACACACUUCUCUUUCAGAUUCGGUUGCACAGGAUUCACACUUCUGUCUGGGAAAGCAUCUCCUGCACCCUUGCUUGGCUCAGCAAUCCUUCUGGAUGUGGCAGGAUCCCCAGACCAUGUGUGGGCACAACAGAGAGUGAGUAGACACCAGAUCUUGUCCUCAGCAGGUGAUGGAACAUCCCACUGCAGUUCCCCCGGGUGCAGGUGCCAGGGGCUCUUUACUCCUAUGGCACCCUGUUAUCCCAGGCCACUUCUGGGGAUCAUCAUCCAUAAUACCUCAAAUUUAGGGAAGCUUUUUGUGGGGCUUGUCUGGCAGAGCUACCUACAAACUGGGACAUUGGAAUUAAACCAUCUGUGCCUUAUUGGCUGUGACAGCUCAGUGCUGCAAACGGCUGCUCCCUGGGCAACAGUGACCACAGUAGAUGCUUCUUUUAUGUUGCUGCAGCAUCAUGUAAGCACAGAUAUAAAAAUGUUCCUUACCUCUGUUUCUCUGCAGAGAGGGCUGGGGCACAGACCAUUCUCCUGUGAGCUCUUACAGCUGGUUUUUGUGAGGAUUUCUCCCUAGACUCUUCUUCACCACAGUGGAGCUGCUGUGCACAGGGGUGCAGUAUUCCAGUGUUUUAUGUGGAGCAGCUCCACUUCCUCUUAGCACUGGGGGUCUGUGCUGCUGGUUUCUGACUCAGGAACAUUUGCACAGAAGCUCAGGAAGAACCACACAGGCACAGUACUAGAAAAUAUCCCAGUUUAUUGGAGCAUCUCACUUCAGAGAGUUUUACAAAACAAUGUAUUUACAGGUAAGGAAGGUACUAACUCAACUCAACUGGAGUGGGCUCUGCUGGAGCAAGGAACAGGCUACACAGGAGAGAGGAAGGAAAUUAGCACAUUCACAAGUCACAUUUUUCUUUACAAAAGUAGGAUGAGUGUAAGGCUGGUGUGGGCACAGCUGACCCAUGUUGUCCUUGCAGGGAGCACUCCAGGACGGAUUCAGUGCAGCCUUUGUGCUCUCCACCAUCGCUUCAGGUACCUGGAGCUCAGCAGAAGCUGUAUCAGCUCAGCCCAGAGUGGAGUUAAGGCACAGUGUGGGGAUGCCAAUGGCCCUGGGGUCUCCAUCUGUGCAAGUAGCUCUUCCCAUGGCUUCCCUCAGGGUGAGUGAUGGGUUCUCUCUUUCUGGCCUCCAGCCCUGGACUCAGCCAGGCCAGAAGCUGAGUUGGACAGAGGACAGAAGGAGAAGACCACAGCAUGGGACAAGAAGGGGACCCCCCUAAAACGAUGGUAAGACCUCCCUUCUCCACCCCUCACAACUGAACACCACAUGUGGAUGGCCAUUUGAAAACAAAUGCAGGACUUAGAAUAUAUUCUGAAAGCAUGUUUUUGAACCUGUCCAAUAAAGUUUGCCUCUAAACAAAA